CAAUAGCGUAUAUUUAAGUUGUUGCAGUUAAAAAGCUCGUAGUUGGAUUUCUGCUGAUCGCUGUCGGUCUGCCAUCAGGUGUGUACUGGCAGUGUUUGGCAUCUAUUCGAGAUUGGGUGUCCACUUGAUUGUGUGCACUCGAUGUCGGAGCUAAUACUUUGAGAAAAUUAGAGUGUUCCACGCAGGCGCGUGCCUUGAAUACUGCAGCAUGGGAUAUUGGAAGGCCGAUUGAGCUUUCUUGUUGGUUCUCGGUUUGAUCGGAAUGAUUAAUAGGGAUAGUUGGGGGCAUUCGUAUUCAACUGUCAGAGGUGAAAUUCUUGGAUUUGUUGAAGACGGACUACUGCGAAAGCAUCUGCCAUGGAUGUUCUCAUUGA
rnacentral:rRNA from 1 species